rnacentral:rRNA from 1 species
AUUGAACGCUGGCGGAAUGCUUUACACAUGCAAGUCGAACGGCAGCAUAGGUGCUUGCACCUGAUGGCGAGUGGCGAACGGGUGAGUAAUACAUCGGAACGUGCCCAGUCGUGGGGGAUAACGUAGCGAAAGUUACGCUAAUACCGCAUACGAUCUAAGGAUGAAAGCGGGGGACCGUAAGGCCUCGCGCGAUUGGAGCGGCCGAUGUCAGAUUAGGUAGUUGGUGAGGUAAAGGCUCACCAAGCCGACGAUCUGUAGCUGGUCUGAGAGGGCGACCAGCCACACUGGGACUGAGACACGGCCCAGACUCCUACGGGAGGCAGCAGUGGGGAAUUUUGGACAAUGGACGCAAGUCUGAUCCAGCCAUUCCGCGUGCAGGACGAAGGCCUUCGGGUUGUAAACUGCUUUUGUACGGAACGAAAAAGCUCUUACUAAUACUAGGAGUCCAUGACGGUACCGUAAGAAUAAGCACCGGCUAACUACGUGCCAGCCGCCGCCGCAG